CUGAUGUGCUCAUUUUCCAACACCCAGACUUCAAGAAGCUCCCUAUAAAGGCGGAGGAGACAUUGGUCCCUAAGGCUGAAGUUCCACUCUUACCAAAGCAGCCCAAGAAAUCCAAAAAAAGGAAAAGCACGCUGGAAAUCCUAGUGGCUCCAUCUGCCAGUACUGGGAGUGUACUACCUCAAGAGUCUGCAGGUGUAGAGAGAAAGUCUCAGCGCCUGCGGCCUUUGUAUCAAUACAUCAACUAUGACAAUCCAGAGAUGAACAACCCAUCAGACAAGGAAAGUGAUCUACCCCAAACAGAGGUUCCUCCCACCUUAGAGAACAAGACAGGCCCUUUGGAACUGAGAAUAACUUCAAAUAUAGUUCCAUAUGACAAAGGUAAAGAACUGAGAAGUCCAAUAAGUGCCACUUCAGGAGCUUCAGUGAAAACAGAGGUAGACAAGUCCACUCAAGUAGACAUUGAUAAGAUGCUCAGUGUCUGUGCAGCUCAUCUUGUCCCACCACUGUCACCACAGAACAAAUAGCACCAUCCACUUAGAUGUGGAGCUACUCAAUGAGAUAAGCCUAAGGGCAGCAGAGCUAACUUAGCUCCUCACAUUUUUACAAUGUUUGGAUACUGUUUAUUUUAUUAAAUGUGCCUUCUAUCCCUACUGAGUGUAUUUCCCUAAGCAUUCUUUAUUACAUUCAAGUGUCAAGCCAGUGUCUGCCUUUGUCUCAUUUGUAAAAGAAAGGGGAAUUGAAUGCCAGCUCAACUGGUUCCUGAGCAACUGCAGAAAAGGACAAAAAAAAAGAUAAGGACCUUGUACAAGACCAGCAUCUGCAGCUGGAAUUAAGGAUACAGCUGUUAGAUUUAAAAAUAACU